ACUUAAGUAGUUUAAAUAAAAUUAUGAUUUGUGGUAUCAUAGAUAUAGAUUGUUAUCUUAGGUU
rnacentral:tRNA from 1 species